UAAUAAGUGUUUUAUGGCACUUUUUUAAAUCCAUAUCCACCUUGUGUGCAAUGUCGGUCGAUCUUCUUCAUGGAGAUCGACCAAACAUCAACCUUUAUCUUUUAACUCUUUGUCUGAAAAAUAUUAUGAAUAAACAAUUCAAAAUA
rnacentral:misc_RNA from 1 species